rnacentral:rRNA from 1 species
UACGUAGGGGGCUAGCGUUGCUCGGAAUGACUGGGCGUAAAGGGCGCGUAGGCGGAUGGCAUAGUCAGAUGUGAAAUCCCCGGGCUCAACCUGGGAACUGCAUCUGUGACUGCAUCGCUGGAGUGCGGCAGAGGGGGAUGGAAUUCCGCGUGUAGCAGUGAAAUGCGCAGAUAUCAGGAGGAACACCGGUGGCGAAGGCGGGUCUCUGGGCCGUUACUGACGCUGAGGAGCGAAAGCGUGGGGAGCGAACAGG